rnacentral:misc_RNA from 1 species
AUGCACUUCGGCACGUCCUAAAAACUCCCCGCGAAUAUAAGCGGUGAAAUUUCCGGACUCUCCGUUGGUAAUAUUAUGGCGAGAACCUUCUAUGACACUAAAGAUAAAAGUAUCUGAACUUCUAACGAUUAUUUUCACUGGCCUAUCAGUCUCUGUGAAAUUGAAAGUCACUGUCUUGACCUCAUUCUCUGUGAUCUCCAUCCUCGCUCCAAUCGAUGACUCAAACGGCGAGGAAUGCACGAAAUAGACACAGAAGAAGAGAGAAGCGAGAGUCCGUAGCAUCUCCAUACUGACAGCGUGAUUGAUUCCUAGUGCCGUGCUCUCAUGACAAUAAUAUUCUCGUCAUUUUGUUGUAUUUCUUAAAAUGGUUGACUUGACCGUUGACGUGCUUGAUUCCAAGUACCAAGCUCUUCGGAAUCCCUCUUGCCGAGCCGAUAAAAUACCAAAGGGCGCGGAUCUGUCAUUGACACCUGCUUAUAAAUCGCUCCGAAAAUGUU